AAUGAACGCUGGCGGCAGGCUUAACACAUGCAAGUCGAACGAGUGGCGGACGGGUGAGUAAUGCUUGGGAAUCUAGCUUAUGGAGGGGGAUAACUACGGGAAACUGUAGCUAAUACCGCUUACCAUAGGAUGAGGCCAAGUGGGAUUAGGUAGUUGGUGAGGGAACGGCUCACCCAGCCGACAAUCCAUAGCUGGUCUGCGCGGAGGACCAGCCACACUGGGACGGAGACACGGCCCAGAAUCCUACGGGAGGCAGCAGUGGGGAAUAUUGCGCAAUGGGGGAAACCUGACGCAGCCAUGCCGCGUGAAUGAAGAAGGCCUUCGGGUUGUAAAGUUCUUUCGGUAGCGAGGCGUUAACUACAGAAGAAGCACCGGCUAACUCCGUGCCAGCAGCCGCGGUAAUAC
rnacentral:rRNA from 1 species